AUUGAACGCUAGCGGGAUGCUUUACACAUGCAAGUCGAACGGCAGCGCGGACUUCGGUCUGGCGGCGAGUGGCGAACGGGUGAGUAAUGUAUCGGAACGUGCCCAGUAGCGGGGGAUAACUACGCGAAAGCGUAGCUAAUACCGCAUACGCCCUACGGGGGAAAGCAGGGGAUCGUAAGACCUUGCACUAUUGGAGCGGCCGAUAUCGGAUUAGCUAGUUAGUGAGGUAACGGCUCACCAAGGCGACGAUCCGUAGCUGGUUUGAGAGGACGACCAGCCACACUGGGACUGAGACACGGCCCAGACACCUACGGGAGGCAGCAGUGGGGAAUUUUGGACAAUGGGGGCAACCCUGAUCCAGCCAUCCCGCGUGUGCGAUGAAGGCCUUCGGGUUGUAAAGCACUUUUGGCAGGAAAGAAACGUCGCGGGCUAAUACCCCGUGGAACUGACGGUACCUGCAGAAUAAGCACCGGCUAACUACGUG
rnacentral:rRNA from 1 species